rnacentral:rRNA from 1 species
CCUACGGGUGAUAGCAGUGGGGAAUAUUGCACAAUGGGGGAAACUCUGAUGCAGCAACGCCGCGUGAAGGAAGACUGUUCUAGGAUUGUAAACUUCUGUUCUUAGUGAAGAAUAAUAACGGUAGCUAAGGAGCAAGCCACGGCUAACUACGUGCCAGCAGCCGCGGUAAUUCGUAGGUGGCAAGCGUUGUCCGGAAUUACUGGGUGUAACGGGAGCGCAGGCGGGAAGUCAAGUCAGUUGUGAAAACUACGGGCUUAACUUGUAGACUGCAGUUGAAACUGGUAUUCUUGAGUGAAGUAGAGGUUGGCGGAAUUCGGAGUGUAGCGGUGAAAUGCGUAGAUAUUAGGAGGAACACCGGUGGCGAAGGCGGCCAACUGGGCUGUAACUGACGCUGAUGCUCGAAAGUGUGGGGAGCAAACAGGAUUAGAUACCCUUGUAGUC